rnacentral:lncRNA from 1 species
GAGGUGCGGCGACCAGGCGCGCGGCGCAAAGUGCCCCAACUGCCUCUGCUGCGGUAAAUACGGCUUCUGCGGCAGUGGCGACGCCUACUGCGGCAAAGGCAGCUGCCAGAGCCAGUGCCGCGGCUGUCGUGACGACGUCGUGGGGCACGCGUUGCCGGCCGAACCGGGUUCUACAAGAGCUACUGCGGCGUCCUCGGCGUCGGCUACGGGAUUAAACUUGACUGCUACAACCGGAGGCCCUUGAACAGCGGGCUCACGGCUGGGCUCGCGUGGCAGUGAAGACGGCCGGUAACUACAUAGAGCGUGCUGCGUGAGCCAUGGAUUAUGUGAGUAAAUAAAGUGGAUGUAUUAGUGAAUUUCCCGCCGUUGUAUGUGCCUCAUCGCGUAUCUGCAUCUUUAGUUGUCAGUAAGAAAUGGGACAGAGAACUUGCGUCUAGCAUAUCGAUCGACAGAGAACUUGUGUCUCUCGGACCGCCAUAUAUAUAUCGUCGUCCUCGGCUCUCUAUCCCCGUCCCUUAUCUACAACCGCAGCAAUUACCACCCCCACACGUGCCAUCGCCAUAGGGGGCUGCAAACAGUUGCUACCCGCAACCUCAAUGUGCAGCACAUAUAUGCUACCCUUACGGAUGGUGCACACAUCGACAUACAUGCAUGCAUCCAUACUCAAUUAACCCGUCGAGGAUCAGAAAAUAAAGAGUCAAUUACAUCACCGGUGUUUAAACUUGACGUGAAAAAUCAUUUUAGUGCUAAAACUUGUGGUAUACAUUGAAUCGGUGCAACAACUUGGCUUUCUUGUGCAAAUACGAUGCAAAAUGCAAUUGAAUACACCCAGUGACAGGGUGGCAUGGGUCCAUUGUCAGGACGCAAGAUGCUGGGCGUGUGCCCUGUUAAUUUGCGAAAAUACCCUUGGAAUAUUUUUUCCACAAGAAAGCCCCAGCGAGUUGGGUCCCCCAGUCAGUAGUACAAAGUGUAAAUAAUCACAAAAAAUAGUCAUGCUAUGUCUAAACAUGAGAACUGCAGCGUGCACACUGAAGGUACUAGCCACUGCAGCCCCAACAUUUUCCUCGGAUAUAUUGGAUAGCUAGCCUAAAUAUCUUAUAACAAUGACGCUCACUGGGCAUGGACUGCAGUUAGUGCGGCUCAUUUUGUACGUGGUAACUGUUUUCAAGAUAUUUGCAAAAUACAUGUAGUAGGUAAUAAAAUAAUGUUCAAAUAUUACUAUGCUAUAAAUAUUAGAAACAAAAAUUUAUGGUUAGUAGAUAAAAGCAUUCAAAAUGUAUAAUGAAUACGAACAUUUUUGUACACUGGUGGCUCAUAUUUAAAUUAUACAAAAUAUUGAAUACAAACAUCUACUAAAUAUUGAUGACCAUCAACUUCUGUAUAAUUCACUUGUGACCUAUAUUAUUAUUUUUACAUAACUUAAGUAUUAACACUAUUGAAUAUUCAUAUCAACAUUUUAUUUUCUAAAUUAAGAAUAUUUUUUAUUAUACAAACAUUAUUUUAAACGACAUACCUAUGAGUUAUAAAAUUAUGUUUAUAAUUGUGUAAACGUUUCUAUAAUUGAAAAAUAAUAUUUAUGAAUUAUAAUUUAAUAAAUAUUUGUAUUAUUUAACUAUACAAACAUUUUUAUAAUUCAUAAACUAAGCACAUGAAUAUUUCAAAAUAAUACGUGACAAUUUUAAGUAAGUUAUUUCAUUGUUAUGUAUAUAAUAUUUAUAACACGUCGAUAUAACACACAUGUAUAUAUUUUACUAUUUGUGUGUAAAUACAUGCUUUUUCGGAAAACACACAAUCUUUAUUAAAACAACUUCUUGAACCAACAUAAUUGUUUUCUAAAGGAUGACUAGUUUUAGUAAAAUUGUGAUUUUUUACUUAUAUGAGCAUUUAUUUGAAUAUAUACGAACUUGUUUAAAUGACUUAUACAAAUAUUUGUAUAUUUCUUAAUUUAAUUAUAUGUAUAGUAUAAAAUUAAUAAUUGAGUAUUUUAUGAAACUACAUGAAAAUUUUCUAAUUGGAGUGGAAGGAUCGUUUACAUGUCUUUAUGUGGUCGUUAGUUCAAGUUCCCAAGCCAUCUUUUUUAACUUGUACGUAUCAAAAAUCCUAAUUUACAUUCUUUAAGGAAAAUUGUAUAAAAGAUAUGUAUUCAUACGAGACAACAAAUUCCCAAGGCUGUGGCUAGUUGCGCACGCCCUGUACCAUCAGGUCCUCGGAUUGAGUCCGCAGUUGACCAAUUUUGUUUACCCAUGUCACUGGCUUUUUUGUGAGUAGAAAAAUGUUGAGGGUGUUUUUGCAAAGUAGCAGGCCAAAAGUCUUCCACUUGGUUCGCUGACAGUGGAUCCACGCCACGCUGUCACGCCUAGUCAGCCCCGUGGGCGUAUUCAGUUGCAUUUUGCACCGUAUUUGCAUGCCUAAGCCAAGUUGUUGCACCGGUUCAAUGUACACCGCAAGUUUUAGUACUAAAGUGACUUUUCGCUUCAAGUUCAAGCACAUGUGAUAUAAUUGACUCGAAAAUAAAUAUAGAUGCAUGCUAUAGUUGCAAAAAGUGAUGUUUUUUUAGUUUGAUAUAUUUAUUACUUCAAAUAUUUUGGAUGGGUACAUCUUUUCUUUUACUAGUUAGAAUUGAUAUUUUUCAUAAGAAAAGAAGCCUACGAUUGGACAUUUGCAUGCCGUCGGAUGUGAUGGGCGCCUGAGAUUGGCUUGAGCGCAGGGACGGAUCCAUGAGAAGGCGAGGUCGACCAAUCAAAUCUCUACUUCUAAUGAAGCAGUUGGUGAAUAAUCUGCCGGUUAUUUUUUGCUGGUUUUAUUUCGCCUCACCACUUUCGUUGGUUUUAUUUCGCUGGUUUUAUUUCAUCUCCCUCCCACCUGCUUUUUCGCUUCACCGCCCACAUAAACCCAUCAGAUUAGUUAUCAUAUAAAAAAUAAAUCGCAAUCAAUCAAGUAUUGAUGAGCAGAUUAGUUACCAUAUAAAAAAUAAAUCGCAAUCAAUCAAGUAUUGAUGGGAUAUUUCCUUAUAUUGAUGUGAUUUUCCCUUUUUUAUCAUCAAUCAUCUCUACUGUCUAAAAAAAUGCGUAGCUUUCCUUUUCCUGCCAACCGACCGCGUCCCGUCUCCCUACAUCCGCCCUCGUUGCUCUACCUCCCGCACGAAAAAACCCUCUCGUUUGACCUCCCCCAAACCCCGCACGAUGGAAAAACCCAGCCGCCUGCUUCCCCUCCUCUCGACCGCUCCAUACGUCCAGAUCGCGGCCCCAUCCCCAUCCUCCUCUCACGUCACGGCGGCCGAUGGACUGCCGCCACCACCCUCCUACUCUCUUGCCGCCGCCGUCCUCCCGCUCGCUCGCAGCCGCCGUCGCCACCAAUCCCGACGAAGGCGCCGUUGCUGCUAUGUCGCCUCCUUUCCCCAUCCAAGCCUGACCAUGGCAACGGCGCCCUCUCAUGUGUCCAGCGGUGAUGUUUGGGGAGGCGCGACCACAAUUCAGUAGGGAUCUCACCACGGGCCCGUCCGCUGGGAUGGGUGUUGCCUCCGUUGCGAAUGGGAUCGAAGGGAGGGACUACUUCGUUGUCAAGGUCGGCGAGGCAGCGGCCGAUUGGGAGCCCGGUUGUGAACAUGGGAGUUCGUCCCCAUGGAGGCGGCGGCCGUGGAGAUUGGAUGUGAAGCAACCCCACUUGCCGGUGGUGGAGGCUUGCCGUCCAUGUGAUCCUUUCUUCUCCCGGUAUCCCCAUUCCUUGCCUCCCAUUACAAUAGCGAGCAUGAAUGAGAGCAGGGGCUGAUUUUCAUCAAUUCAUUUCUCAUAUUUUUAGUUGCUUUUUUGAGAUUAUACAAGAUGCUCCCGAUCUGUUUUGUCAAAUUACUUGGAUCGUCUUAUGGAAUUGACAGCCAUCGUAUUUUCACCUCAUGUUAUUUCUUAAUCCUUGUCCCACUGGGCAUCCACUACAUGUUUGGUAAUGACGUGAUGUUGAGGCGGGAGGAGAAGCUCAGCAGCCAGAUCAAGGGCUAUCGAGAGGGAUCUGGGAGCCAAGCAGUAGUUCUUCUGUUAAAUUUUGGUUAUUAUCUUUUCUAUUGUUACAAUUGUGGGAUGGUUGAUUUUGACUCGGUGUAACAUUUGCAUUUGUUUUCCCAGCUUGUUGGCGUAGAUGCGUGGCACUGCGGCAACUAAUCAAGAGCGAGGGCAGUGCACAUCAGAGCUACGCUGAAUGUAGCGAGCCAACCACGAAUUGGAUAUGUUCACAAGAGGGAUGGGAGAGGAGAGGAACAUUAACAUUUUUCAUGAUUUGGAUGAAAAUUUCAGUUCGUAGUUUCUCCGUACCUGGCAACACACUAGCGGUACUCAUGGGCUUAGGAUGAAAGUAGCGCCAGCAGAAUCAGUAGGUUGGAUGGGAAGGCGGUUGUUGCCCUUGUCCCUUGGAGCUAGCCUACCGUGGCGGCCUCACUAACUUGUUCAUUGCGAAUACGAGUUCGUGGGGUCGCGAGUUGCUGCAGAUUUGUUUUUUUCACUUUUUACAAUAUUUAUUGAUAUAUUCCUAACUCAUCGAGUCAUUUUUAUCUUUGAUUUCCCAUAUACGCCAGCCUAAAUAUCCCAUGGUCAGAAUAUUUGCAUGGUUAGUGGACAUUGUCCCUUUCUUUCUAAUGUUUAGUAUUUUAUAUUGCCGAUAGAAAUAAUUUUAUCCGCUUGAUUUAGGAAGUGCACAUAGGUAGGUCAACAUAUUUUGUAGCUCUUUCAUAUGUAAAAGCAUAUGUUGCAUAAGAAAUUAUUAUCUUCCAAGCAUACUCACAUUUCACUAACAAAUAGGGGGAGGUUCAGACUUCAGAGCAAUGAUAAAAAGGUUUGUUCCUCACUCUUUUGUUGGAAUUUUAGUUCCAAGUUAACAUGAUUUCUUAUCCGCUUCAUAAGUCAUGCAUUUGCUUAAUUAGGUGAUAAGUAGAGCAAAAAAAAAAUUGAUCAUGUUAUUGUGGGGUUUGUUUAAACUCCAACAUAAGGAUUUCUGGUUUAAGAAAAAAGACUUUUGGCUUCUUUAAUUACAAAUUGAUUGCAACAUCGUGUUAGUAUGUGAUUUCUCACAUUUGGUUAUAAUAUUUGUGAAGACGUGCAUUGCACGUGCACUUGGAAGCGGGCCCGUGGCCCGCGCCAGACGGCGCCGACGCUGACCCGGGCCACCUCCUUCGCGUAUUCUUGGAGCUAUGGCUGGCCGAUUUACAUGAAAUUAAUUCUCUCAGUUCUGGUGGCAAAUAUAAUACACAUAAUUCAUAUUGUUAUGCACUAGCGUGUGUGUGUGAAAUAGAUGGAUUAUGGUCCCGUACCCAAUAAGAUGGAUAUGUGUGUGUUAGAGAGAGGGAGAGGGGGAGAGAGAGUGAGGAAGAGGGAGGGAGAGUGUGUGUGUGUGAGGAUUUGAUGGUAAAAAAGGUCGCCAAUGUUGUAAUAUUGAACUCUUAAAGUUAAUGUGGCCCCGUUGCAACGCACGAGCGUUCUUCUAAUGCCAAUAACUUGUGUGAUGAUGCUUGCACUCGGAUCGACGACCAAUCCAAAGAUUUGCCAUGAAACAGCAGCCGUCGGAUUUGCAUAUACGAUUAGGAUGAUGCGAUGCGAUGCGAAGCGAAGAGGCAGAGUCGAUCCGUGGCCGUGGGUAAGCUCAAACGACCAAUCAAUCACGGGAACCCCAAAGCCAGCCAAAGGAUUGCUGUCGGCUCCCCUCCCUACAUCACUCCUGAUUCCACACCCCACAUCGCGCCACCACCCGCCGUCUCCCUCCAACCCACCUCGCCGCCGGCAAUGGCCAACGCUCCCUCCCCUUCCCCUUCCCUCUCCUCUCCCCUUCUUCUUCCCCUUUCCCUCAUCAAGGAGAAGAGAAGAGGGAAGGAGAUCGAGCACGCAAGUGCCAGAUCUGCCACAGGCUUCAAGGGCUGACCGAGCAUCGCGGCCAUGGCCCUCCUGCAGGACCAAUCCACCAUGGCCACGGAUGCCUGACUAUCAGUGACGACGACGGCGGCGGAUGCGACUAGAACCAUAGCCGUCUUCCUCGGUGCCAGCCUCCUCCCCGGUCGGCAUCAGGGCUGGUAAUCCCUAUAUCCCUCCUGGGUGUGCAUGGUGUUGUGAACGCGGUACUCAUGCAUUGCCCGGUCAGUGCGCUCGCCGUUGGGCGUGCGGCCACGUAGGUGGACGAGCGUCUUCUUGUGGCCGAUGGUUGUGCCUUGGUGCCCGUGGACGGGGCUGUCCCCUGCCCAUUGACUUCCAGUAUCCAGCUGGGGUAGUGGUUCGAUCCCGCCUGUGGAUGCCACCAUUUUAUGGUGAAGGACCUGUAGUGCCGGUUCUCCAACCGGCACUAAAGGGUGGGGACUAAAUCCCUCCCCCUAGUGCCGGUUCGUCACGAACCGGGACCAAAUGCCCACCACGUGGCACGAGCCCGUACCGGGGGGCUGGGGGCCUUUAGUUCCGGUUGGUUACACACUAACCAACCGGAACUAAAAGUUUUAGGGGUUUAUGGGUUUAUGGCUUAUUUUUCCUUUUAGCUUUGUGUUUUUCAUUUAAUUUAAUUUCAAACAUAUUUUACGCUACUACAUAUUGUACAUGUUUUAUAUAUAUAUAUAUAUAUAUACACACACACACACACACACACACACACACACAAUUUCUCCUACAAUUGGCAGAACAUUACAUGGAGGCAUUACAGCUUGUACUGGUAUUUUCCUUUGGAAUCUAUGACUUGGUCGAGCAAAAAUCCCGCUAUUUCCUAUUAAAUUGCUCGUACGCGAUUCGUUGGUAGGAGUUUAUCCCGCAUCUCCCUCAUCUUUAAGAAGGAGAUCAAUGGUACCCUCUUGAAUUCGUUUGCACCGUCCCAUCAGCUACGGCAAGGUGAUCCUCUAUCCCCUCUUGGAUUCGCUAGCUACCAUCCCAAAGGUUCCAUCAAUAAAUGGCGGCACUCGUCGCCGUAUUUUACCAGGCACCAACAAGAUCAUCAUGAAGCCACACAUGUCCGCUACGGUACUAAGAGGAGCCCCCAGGGUGGCGGCCAUCCUCCUGGCCGUGGUCCUGGCGGCGGUGCUCGCCACGGCGGUGAACGGCGCCCAGAGGUGCGGCGACCAGGCGCGCGGCGCAAAGUGCCCCAACUGCCUCUGCUGCGGUAAAUACGGCUUCUGCGGCAGUGGCGACGCCUACUGCGGCAAAGGCAGCUGCCAGAG